UCCACAUUCCCUUGUUGGCAACCUGCUUGGGGCCACUUGUAAGUUGUGGACGGGGCAAGAAGCAAAAGUGGGCGGGGCAAUGGGUGUGAACGUUACCAUUGUCCAGUCAGCUAGUUUUUACUUGCCUGUUGUGUGUACACCUUCGCACACCCCUCUCUGUCUUCUGUCCAGGGCAACCAAGGGUUAUCCUUCAAGCUGUGAGAUACAAGGCGUGUUAUUCUGUACCAGAAGAUACCCUUUAAUGGUGAGCCAUGAAGCAACCUCGCUUCCCCUUCCAUGGCCAUGGUACAACCAGAAGGAAAACUCAGAUCCUAAAUCCCCACUGCCUUGCGGGAUAUCUUCAGGAGAAGAAAAUGCUAAGGAGUAAACCCUACAUGAAUCUGGUGGGAUGGGGCCUCGUAUACCUCCUUCUGACAACUCCUGCAGACAAGCUGGUGCCAAAUGUUUUGCCCUGCCAUAAGAAGGGGGACAGGAAGGGCAUUUUGUGCAAAUCCUUGUCUUGUUUAGUCCUUUUUGGGGGUGAUGUGUAAACCCUAGCAGGGUGGCCCAGCUUUUCAUACCAAGAUGGCCACAAGGGUACUUCAACAUGGAACCUGC